UCGAGGAUCUUCGGCAAUGGGCGCAAGCCUGACCGAGCGACGCCGCGUGCGCGAUGAAGGCCUUCGGGUUGUAAAGCGCUGUCGAGGGGGAGGAAACUCCGCAAGGGGCUGACCUAUCCCUGGAGGAAGCACGGGCUAAGUUCGUGCCAGCAGCCGCGGUAAGACGAACCGUGCAAACGUUGUUCGGAAUCACUGGGCUUAAAGGGCGCGUAGGCGGGUUCCCAAGUCGGUGGUGAAAUCUUGCGGCUCAACCGUAGAAGUGCCGCCGAUACUGGGAGUCUUGAGGGAGGUAGGGGUCGAGGGAACUUCCGGUGGAGCGGUGAAAUGCGUAGAUAUCGGAAGGAACGCCGGUGGCGAAAGCGCUCGACUGGACCUCUUCUGACGCUGAGGCGCGAAAGCCAGGGGAGCAAACGGGAUUAGAUACCCCCGUAGUCC
rnacentral:rRNA from 1 species